UUGCGCUCGCAGCUAGACGUAACCUUCGAGCAUACUGGAUCAAAGUCGUAACACCAUAGACGUAUCUUCUACCGGCCUUUCGUCUCGCCGUUCUUACUGUUUACAUCGUAUGGCUUCCAAGCGAAAUCCGCGUCAAUUAUCUGUGCUAGCGUUCCGCUCGUCGAAAAGUGCAUCGCGUGCGUGAAGAUAUCAGUCGAGAUCAAAGUAAAGUUGCAUAGCAUCCUUUUUGCGUUCAGCAGUUCUACGAAGUGGAUCGCGCGUAUUACUCUUCUGUUACUUCCUACACAUCUUGGAACAUCUACACCUUUGAAAGAGAGUAACUUCGACGUGGCAUAUCAUGGAAUCUAAAAUACGAAGAACUGAAAUAUCUGUGGAUGACCAAACAGAGAUUUAAGUGGGUAAUUUUUAAGAUCUUUGAGAGAGAGCACACACUGAACGAUCAAGUAAAUCAAGAAUUUAAAUGAACAAUCUUUGGGAUCUUUGAACACAUGACAAUCAAGUGAAUCGAGUGGACAAUCUUUGAAGUCUUCAAGUAUAGUGAGUCAAAUAUUUCUAAAAUUAAUAAUAUUGGUCAUAUAGUUAUGCAAUCCAACCCAUAAAAUUAUGAUAUUUGAGUUUUUGUUACAUGAGAUAUCAAUGCAAAAUUUAUUGGAGCUGGAUUGUUCACAUACACUAUAGCUAGUGCAUAAUACACACACACAAACUUACAUAGUCACAUAACUUCAUUUAAACACUAAUUUUAUAAAAAAAUGUUUCGAAUAAGAAUUGCGUAGACUAACAGCAAGCAUAUUUCUAUGGAUGUAUGUGUACAAAUCGCUUUCCAAGAAUUACUAAAACAAAAAAGACCCAAGCCUUAUAGGUGCCUAAAAUUAAUUAAGAAAUAGAUCUUAUUUUUUACUAGUUGUGUCAGUUUUUACUAAUUGUAUAUUUUUUAUCUAUUUUUUAAAAGCUUGUUAAUGAGUACACUUAAGAGCAGAUUGAUCAUACUUGACUUUUUCAAUAUUACAAAGAAUCUCAAUGCUAUCUAAGCUUCUUAAACUAUAUAUCGAAUUUUUAUGUUCAUUUGUCUCGAAACAUACUUUAUGUGAGUUGGAUCAUUCCUAUAUAAGUACAGUCAAUUGCUAAAAGGAGAUUUAUUCACAUAUGACAAUGACACUCGUGUCAUUAAUGAGACUCAACACUAUGAUUAUUUGUUAUUAAGUAAUUUAUUGCAAUCUUUUAAUUAAUUAUUCGUAUAAAUCGUUUUUUUCUCGAAUUUUCACGCAUCAAAAAUUUUCUCGAGAACCAAAAUAAACUUGACAAGUGACUCAGAAAAUCUACGCUCUCCUGUCGAGCGCACACAACUUUAUAGCGUAGGUGAUCGUGCGCUACAUAUGUUUCUUGAAACAAUCCGUAAUUGAUGCGUAUUUAUGUACUCGAAAAGAACUCGCGUUCCGGAUAUACCUCUCACGGAGUCGACGGCGACGACGACGACGACGUCGUCGUCGUCGAAGGCGGUUUCGACUAAGUCGUCGAUUUGACAUCUAACGAGUAAACUCGCUUCGCUUACCACGGGCCAGGAAGAGGGGCGCCAGCACGGAAUUUAUUCAACAGGUUUACGAAGUGACGAUGCGAUGAAACAUCCAUAAUGGUGGCUCGUGGUCUCCCCUUCUCUCUCUCUUUC